rnacentral:rRNA from 1 species
UACGAGGGGGGCAAGCGUUGUUCGGAAUUAUUGGGCGUAAAGGGCGCGUAGGCGGCGCCACAAGUCACUUGUGAAAACUCUGGGCUCAACUCAGAGCCUGCAAGCGAAACUGUGGUGCUGGAGUAUGGGAGAGGUGCGUGGAAUUCCCGGUGUAGCGGUGAAAUGCGUAGAUUUCGGGAGGAACCCCUGUGGCGAAUGCGGCGCACUGGCCCAUAUCUGACGCUGAGGCGCGAAAGCUAGGGGGGCAAACAGG